GCCCGGAUGGCGGAAUUGGUAGACGCGCUAGUUUCAGGGACUAGUAUCCGUUAGGAUGUGCAAGUUCGAGUCUUGUUCCGGGCA
rnacentral:tRNA from 1 species